rnacentral:misc_RNA from 1 species
CAUCAUCAUCAUCAGCGGCAGCAGCAGCUGCUAGUGAUCGUGAUCAAGAAGAAGAGGAGGAAGAAGAAGGAGAAGAACAAUUUGUUCAAGAAGCCCAUUUGCCGAGCUUGAAGAACCCCUUAAGCAACAAAACUCUCAUGCCCCAGAAAUCAUCUUCUUUCUCCAACCUACUGGACGCCAUGGACUACUCUAUAUUGCGAAGUUUCCUGUCAGAUAACCAGUUCAAUAAUCCAACUGGGUUUGAUUCAACCCCAUCAUCAGUAGUCAAUGGUGCAAUAACAGAGCAACCUCUCUUCAACAACUGCAAUCCUCAUACCAAUAGCGGCAGCAGCAGCUACUUGAUUCAAAAGCUACCCCAGUUGAGUACUCCAAUACCAAACAUGGAAAACAAGCUUAAGCGCCCAUUUCCUAGCAUUGAUGAGGAUAUGAAUCAUUACCCAUCAAAGAAACUCAUCAAUUCUUGCAGUUUCACCAACAGCAACAGCCAAACUGAUAUGGCUUAUCAUCAAUACAAUGUCCUAAACCAGCCAUUAUUGAACCAGCAAUUACUUUUGAGCCCUCA